UUGUCCUGGCCUAUGCUUUCUCUGCUCCCCUGUGCUCAGUUGUAAUGGGAGUCUAGCACAACACACAGCAAGCAGGUCUCUCUCAGUUUAGGAGGGCCUCCCUGAGGAUAGGGCUGGCUUUUAAAGGAUGAGAAACCUGG
rnacentral:snoRNA from 1 species